CCUACGGGGGGCAGCAGUGGGGAAUAUUGGACAAUGGGGGGAACCCUGAUCCAGCCAUGCCGCGUGUGUGAAGAAGGCCCUCGGGUUGUAAAGCACUUUCAGUGAGGAAGAACGCCUGGUGGUUAAUACCCAUCAGGAAAGGCAUCACUCACAGAAGAAGCACCGGCUAACUCCGUGCCAGCAGCCGCGGUAAUACGGAGGGUGCGAGCGUUAAUCGGAAUUACUGGGCGUAAAGCGCGCGUAGGUGGCUUGAUAAGCCGGUUGUGAAAGCCCCGGGCUCAACCUGGGAACGGCAUCCGGAACUGUCAAGCUAGAGUGCAGGAGAGGAAGGUAGAAUUCCCGGUGUAGCGGUGAAAUGCGUAGAGAUCGGGAGGAAUACCAGUGGCGAAGGCGGCCUUCUGGACUGACACUGACACUGAGGUGCGAAAGCGUGGGUAGCAAACAGGAUUAGAUACCCGAGUAGUC
rnacentral:rRNA from 1 species